GAAAGAAACAAGACAACGUCCUCCUCCUACCACUUGAACAUGAUUGGGUACUUCUCCUUCAUUGAUAGAAAUUUCAAGUUGUCCUUCACCAGCUGCACUGGCAUCAACUGUAAAAUUAACAAGUGCAUGUCCUAUGACAGCACUGGGCACGUCAGUAACUUGAAUUAAACUGCUGUUGUACACCUUAGCAACCAAUGGUCCUGCCGGUAGCUUUUGUCCAGCGAUGGUUACUUCUACAAGAUGACUGCCUACUUCUAUUGGGGUAAAUUCAACGCGAAAUUCUCCUGGCCUUCCUGAUUCUUCGUUAAUUUUUGCUGGUAUAUGUCUCUUGGAAGGUGCUAGAAAUGAACAUUACAUAUUUAUAAGAAAUUUUUACUUUACUCAAUUAUGGUGUACAAUUCCAAAUACAGAAAAUAUAAUAAUUAAUUCUG